UGGUGAGCCGGUCCAUUUACACACAGUAGU
rnacentral:piRNA from 1 species